rnacentral:rRNA from 1 species
CCUACGGUGGGCAGCAGUGGGGAAUAUUGGACAAUGGGCGGAAGCCUGAUCCAGCCAUGCCGCGUGUGUGAAGAAGGCCUUCGGGUUGUAAAGCACUUUCAGUGGGGAAGAAAGCCUUGGGGCUAAUACCCUCGAGGAAGGACAUCACCCACAGAAGAAGCACCGGCUAACUCCGUGCCAGCAGCCGCGGUAAUACGGAGGGUGCGAGCGUUAAUCGGAAUUACUGGGCGUAAAGCGCGCGUAGGCGGUCUGAUAAGCCGGUUGUGAAAGCCCCGGGCUCAACCUGGGAACGGCAUCCGGAACUGUCAGGCUAGAGUGCAGGAGAGGAAGGUAGAAUUCCCGGUGUAGCGGUGAAAUGCGUAGAGAUCGGGAGGAAUACCAGUGGCGAAGGCGGCCUUCUGGACUGACACUGACGCUGAGGUGCGAAAGCGUGGGUAGCAAACAGGAUUAGAUACCCCAGUAGUC